rnacentral:rRNA from 1 species
GACGAACGCUGGCGGCGUGCUUAACACAUGCAAGUCGAACGGAAAGGCCCUGCUUUUGUGGGGUGCUCGAGUGGCGAACGGGUGAGUAACACGUGAGUAACCUGCCCUUGACUUUGGGAUAACUUCAGGAAACUGGGGCUAAUACGGGAUAGGAGCUCCUGCUGCAUGGUGGGGGUUGGAAAGUUUCGGCGGUUGGGGAUGGACUCGCGGCUUAUCAGCUUGUUGGUGGGGUAGUGGCUUACCAAGGCUUUGACGGGUAGCCGGCCUGAGAGGGUGACCGGCCACAUUGGGACUGAGAUACGGUCCAGACUCCUACGGGAGGCAGCAGUGGGGAAUAUUGCACAAUGGGCGGAAGCCUGAUGCAGCAACGCCGCGUGCGGGAUGACGGCCUUCGGGUUGUAAACCGCUUUCGCCUGUGACGAAGCGUGAGUGACGGUAAUGGGUAAAGAAGCACCGGCUAACUACGUG